rnacentral:lncRNA from 1 species
AUUGAAGAAGGGGCACCUUUCAGCAACCCCUUCUUGCCGAACUGGGGGGAGAAGUACCACCAGUCCUUCGCCGAAGGAUGGCGCUUGAAAGUAUAGAAGUGCCUAAACAGGGAGAGGGACGGUUGGACUUCGACUACGUGGCAAAGGGAGAGAAAUCCUAUUAAAAACCUAAAAGAAGUCGGAGCAACAGAAGCCAAGGAGAUGUCUAGGA